GGCUGCUGUGGGGCAGUGGCUAACCCUCCUGUUUUAGAAAUUCUCGACCCGGGUUCGAUUCCCGCUUGGGUCA